rnacentral:rRNA from 1 species
UGCGCCUUGCCAGCCCGCUCAGAAACUUAAAGGAAUUGACGGGGGCCCGCACAAGCGGAGGAGCAUGUGGUUUAAUUCGAUGAUACGCGAGGAACCUUACCUGGGCUCGAACGUAAGAUGACUGUAGGUGAAAGCUUACAUCUCUUCGGAGCAUUUUACGAGGUGCUGCAUGGUUGUCGUCAGCUCGUGCCGUGAGGUGUCGGGUUAAGUCCCAUAACGAGCGCAACCCCUGCCUUUAGUUGCCAGCAGUUCGGCUGGGCACUCUAAAGGGACUGCCGGUGUUAAACCGGAGGAAGGUGGGGAUGACGUCAAGUCCUCAUGGCCUUUAUGACCAGGGCUACACACGUACUACAAUGGCCGAUACAAAGGGCAGCGACACUGCGAGGUGAAGCCAAUCCCGUAAAAUCGGUCUCAGUCCGGAUUGGAGUCUGCAACUCGACUCCAUGAAGUUGGAAUCGCUAGUAAUCGUGGAUCAGCAUGCCACGGUGAAUACGUUCCCGGGCCUU